rnacentral:lncRNA from 1 species
CCUAUUGCUAGGGAGUAGUGGAGUCAUGCAGCACCCGCCGUAGGGAGUGGAGCAGAAUCAUGGCCGUUAAUACAGCCUGUCAGAGAGUAAUGGGGUCGCGUAGGGUCCGCCGCAGGGAGUGGAGCAGGAUCAUGGCCGUUAAAACAGCCUGUCAGGGAGUAAUGGGGUCGCGUAGGGUCCACCGCAGGGAGUGGAGCAGGAUCAUGGCCGUUAUUGUGGCUUGGGAGUGCAGAUCCAUCGGCUGAAGCUCAACAGUGGUUGGAGCUGAUGACGGAGUUCGGCUCCCGUAGGAGUCCGG